rnacentral:rRNA from 1 species
CAAUAGCGUAUAUUAAAGUUGUUGCAGUUAAAAAGCUCGUAGUUGGAUUUCGGGGUGGCCUGGCUGGUUCGCCGCAAGGUGAGUACUGGUCAGCCGCCCUUCCUCUCGAAAGCCCCGACUGCUCUUUACUGCAGUGGUCGGGUAGUUCGGGACGUUUACUUUGAAAAAAUUAGAGUGUUCAAGGCAGGCUAUCGCCUGAAUACAUUAGCAUGGAAUAAUGGAAGAGGACCUCGGUCCUAUUUUGUUGGUUUCUAGGGCCGAAGUAAUGAUUAAGAGGGACAGUUGGGGGCAUUCGUAUUUAAUUGUCAGAGGUGAAAUUCUUGGAUUUAUGAAAGACGAACUAGUGCGAAAGCAUUUGCCAAGGAUGUUUUCAUUAA